rnacentral:rRNA from 1 species
GGUAGGGUUCUUCGGAACUUGAGACCGGCGCACGGGUGCGUAACGCGUAUGCAAUCUACCUUUUACAGAGGGAUAGCCCAGAGAAAUUUGGAUUAAUACCUCAUAGCAUAUAGACCUGGCAUCAGGAUUAUAUUAAAGUCACAACGGUAAAAGAUGAGCAUGCGUCCCAUUAGCUAGUUGGUAAGGUAACGGCUUACCAAGGCUACGAUGGGUAGGGGUCCUGAGAGGGAGAUCCCCCACACUGGUACUGAGACACGGACCAGACUCCUACGGGAGGCAGCAGUGAGGAAUAUUGGACAAUGGGCGCAAGCCUGAUCCAGCCAUGCCGCGUGCAGGAUGACGGUCCUAUGGAUUGUAAACUGCUUUUAUACAGGAAGAAACAUCCCUACGUGUAGGGACUUGACGGUACUGUAAGAAUAAGGAUCGGCUAACUCCGUGCCAGCAGCCGCGGUAAUACGGAGGAUCCAAGCGUUAUCCGGAAUCAUUGGGUUUAAAGGGUCCGUAGGCGGUUUAGUAAGUCAGUGGUGAAAGCCCAUCGCCUCAACGGUGGAACGCCCAUUGAAUACUGCUGAACUUGAAUUAUUUAGGAAGUAACUAGAAUAUGUAGUGUAGCGGUGAAAUGCUUAGAGAUUACAUGGAAUACCAAUUGCGAAGGCAGGUUACUACUAAUUGAUUGACGCUGAUGGACGAAAGCGUGGGUAGCGAACAGGAUUAGAUUACCCUGGUAGUCCACGCCGUAAACGAUGGAUACUAGCUGUUGGAAGCAAUUUCAGUGGCUAAGCGAAAGUGAUAAGUAUCCCACCUGGGGAGUACGUUCGCAAGAAUGAAACUCAAAGGAAUUGACGGGGGCCCGCACAAGCGGUGGAGCAUGUGGUUUAAUUCGAUGAUACGCGAGGAACCUUACCAAGGCUUAAAUGUAGAUUGACCGGUUUGGAAACAGAUCUUUCGCAAGACAAUUUACAAGGUGCUGCAUGGUUGUCGUCAGCUCGUGCCGUGAGGUGUCAGGUUAAGUCCUAUAACGAGCGCAACCCCUGUUGUUAGUUGCCAGCGAGUCAUGUCGGGAACUCUAACAAGACUGCCAGUGCAAACUGUGAGGAAGGUGGGGAUGACGUCAAAUCAUCACGGCCCUUACGCCUUGGGC